rnacentral:lncRNA from 1 species
UAGUUAAUCAUAAGUUCAUUAAAAAAGUGUGAAGAACAAACCAGGAACGACUUGAUAAUUGAUCAUUUGUGCCUCAUACUGAGUAGUUACUCAGUAGUCCCUCAUUACUUCAUCAUUACUUUAUGAUUACUUUGUGGCCCUUCAAGCCUGGGUCACUUCUCCUGGGAAGGGAUCACAGGAACCACCUUUAUGAUAUGAUUCACCUCUACACAAGCUCAGGCUCAUUCCGUCCUAGACUGCUUGCUGUGAAGCCUUAUGCUCAGGAGGUGGCUGUGGUUGAGCAGUACUGGCAGCUGUUUCCUUCCUCAUUGGUCGCAGUGCUACUUGCUGUCCAUGAUGACAAAGUUGUCACUGAUGUCCCUUCAUCAUGCUGUACUGACUUUGAAAGGUCAGUGAUGACUGAGUUGACUUUAAUGCCCGUUAAGAUGUCCAGACACAUCAGUCAAACAUCUUGACUGUGCUUUUCUUUGUA